rnacentral:rRNA from 1 species
GACGAACGCUGGCGGCGUGCCUAAUACAUGCCAGUUGAGCGAUGAAGAUUGGUGCUUGCACCAAUUUGCAGAGCAGCGAACGGGUGAGUAACGCGUGGGGAAUCUGCCUUUGAGCGGGGGACAACAUUUGGAAACGAAUGCUAAUACCGCAUAACAACUUUAAACAUAAGUUUUAAGUUUGAAAGAUGCAAUUGCAUCACUCAAAGAUGAUCCCGCGUUGUAUUAGCUAGUUGGUGAGGUAAAGGCUCACCAAGGCGAUGAUACAUAGCCGACCUGAGAGGGUGAUCGGCCACAUUGGGACUGAGACACGGCCCAAACUCCUACGGGAGGCAGCAGUAGGGAAUCUUCGGCAAUGGACGAAAGUCUGACCGAGCAACGCCGCGUGAGUGAAGAAGGUUUUCGGAUCGUAAAACUCUGUUGGUAGAGAAGAACGUUGGUGAGAGUGGAAAGCUCAUCAAGUGACGGUAACUACCCAGAAAGGGACGGCUAACUACGUG